CUGUUCCCUGGGAUUGGCUUUGGGCCUUUCCUGCGCAGCUUAGGUGGAAGGCGAAGAAGGCCCCCUUCCGGGGGGGCCCGAGCCAUCAGUGAGAUACCACUCUGGAAGAGCUUAGAUUCUAACCUUGUGUCAGACCCGCGGGCCAAGGGACAGUCUCAGGUAGAUAG
rnacentral:ncRNA from 1 species